rnacentral:lncRNA from 1 species
AAAGAUGUGGCCUGAGCUACAGUGGUAGGUGAGGAUUAAUUGAUGACGUGAGACUGAGUUGUUGCAGGAAACCACACACCGUUAAAAGCCCUAACCCUUCACAUUCUAUUAAACCUUACUCAUCCUCUGCGUCUCUCUUUUUCAGUCACACAAGAGUGCAAAACAUCUCUCCUUGAUGCUCAGUAAAAAUGGGAUUUUCUGACAGCACAAAUACGUCACACAAGAGUGCAAAACAUCUCUCCUUGAUGCUCAGUAAAAAUGGGAUUUUCUGACAGCACAAAUACGUCACACAAGAGUGCAAAACAUCUCUCCUUGAUGCUCAGUAAAAAUGGGAUUUUCUGACAGCACAAAUACGGUGAGUUAUUUGCACUAGUGACAACUAAAUGACUGUCAGUGUUGUCUUAGACGAUAAAAG